GUCCGACGAGGGCGAUCGCUCCGCCUGAAAAGCGGAAGGUCGGCGGUUCGACCCCGCCCCUGACCA
rnacentral:tRNA from 1 species